AAGGGGGCGUCUAUUGACUGACUAUCUUCUAAAGUUGCUGCCUAUUGAGAUGAAACUACCUCUGAGAACGCAUUUCAGGGUCUCCCAGAUUGUUCCAGGGGAGAUCGAACAAGAGCUGUUAUCUUGUAGGAUCUGUAUGAUGUUUGAUUUAAUCUGUUCUCUGACUUGUUCUUUGUGUAGCAAUAGAUCAUUCAUUCUCCAUGUGAAAUCAGGCUUAGUGGUCUUUGGUAUUACAAACUUAGCAAAAAUAGGGGAGUGAUCAGAUAGUGUGCUAUUACCUAUUUUUGCCUGUGUGAACAGGUGUAACCAGUUUUGUGAAACCAUAAUGUAGUCUAUUCUUGAAUAAACCAUGUGGGUUUUUGAAAA